rnacentral:rRNA from 1 species
UAGGGAAUCUUCCGCAAUGGGCGAAAGCUUGACGGAGCAACGCCGCGUGAGUGAUGAAGGUCUUCGGAUCGUAAAACUCUGUUAUUAGGGAAGAACAAAUGUGUAAGUAACUAUGCACGUCUUGACGGUACCUAAUCAGAAAGCCACGGCUAACUACGUGCCAGCAGCCGCGGUAAUACGUAGGUGGCAAGCGUUAUCCGGAAUUAUUGGGCGUAAAGCGCGCGUAGGCGGUUUUUUAAGUCUGAUGUGAAAGCCCACGACUCAACCGUGGAGGGUCAUUGGAAACUGGAAAACUUGAGUGCAGAAGAGGAAAGUGGAAUUCCAGGUGUAGCGGUGAAAUGCGCAGAGAUAUGGAGGAACACCAGUGGCGAAGGCGACUUUCUGGUCUGUAACUGACGCUGAUGUGCGAAAGCGUGGGGAUCAAACAGG